GUAGUGCUGUAGUGCAGUUACUGUGAUAUGUCAUAGAUUUAGUAAGGCGUGGUCGUGCUCUGCAGGAGAAGAACAAGCAUUCAUUUUCAACUGAUAGACGAAAGAGGACAAAUGAGUUAGAGAUUAAUUGUUGCUGAAUGGAAUGUGGGUGGAGAGGUUACACAAAGUCUUCUGCUGUUUAUGAGGUUCAGCUCAGUAAGGAUGACUCUUACCAUUCAGUUAUUCGCAAGAUAAGCAGCUCAAUUGGAAUUGAUGACUGUGAAGAAAAUGAGCUAAGGUUAUUCAAUGGAAGAGGUGGAAUAAUUUCAGAUGGUUGUAUUACUCUUUGUGAUAAAGAAGUUGAUUGGUCGUUGGGGGCCUUUUUACUAAAGAGACAUACCUCUGCAGACAAGUUAACUCUAGGCAUAGGCAUUGUUGAUGAAGAGCUAGAACCAGUUAUUUCCUAAUCAAAAAAGGCAAAGGUCAGUAGUAGUACUCAUACGAACACAGAGCCCUUGAGAAAGGCAGCAGCUGAUCAGAAUGUCAGUGGAAGGAAGGUUGAUAGCAAGUCCUCAACUAAUGAUAUAGAAUAUCAAGCUUAUGAAGCCUCCAACAAUGAUGGAUUAC